rnacentral:rRNA from 1 species
UACAGAGGUCCCAAGCGUUGUUCGGAUUCACUGGGCGUAAAGGGUGCGUAGGUGGUCGGGUAAGUCUGAUGUGAAAUCUCCGAGCCUAACUCGGAAACUGCAUCGGAUACUAUUCGGCUUGAGGGUUGGAGGGGGGACUGGAAUACUUGGUGUAGCAGUGAAAUGCGUAGAUAUCAGGAAGAACACCAAUGGCGAAGGCAGCUCUCUGGGACGGUACUGACGCUGAGACGCGAAAGCGUGGGGAGCGAACAGG